AUGGCAGAAGCUCCAUCCACAAACACUAAUCUCAUAUUAUCUGGAAAAGUAGCCAUAGUAACAGGAGGUGCUAGUGGUAUCAGCGAAACCACAGUGUGUGUCUUUGCUAAUGAAGGCACGCACGUGGUUGUGAUUGCAGAUAUCCAAGACGAGCUUGGUGAACAAGUAGCUGCAUCGAUUGGCAAGCAAAGGUGCAUCUAUGUUUAUUGUGACUUGACAAAUGGAGAUCAAGUUUGA